CCUACGGGUGGCAGCAGUGGGGAAUAUUGCACAAUGGGGGAAACCCUGAUGCAGCGACGCCGCGUGAGUGAAGAAGUAUUUCGGUACGUAAAGCUCUAUCAGCAGGGAAGAAAAUGACGGUACCUGACUAAGAAGCCCCGGCUAACUACGUGCCAGCAGCCGCGGUAAUACGUAGUGGGCAAGCGUUAUCCGGAUUUACUGGGUGUAAAGGGAGCGUAGACGGCAGCGCAAGUCUGGAGUGAAAUCCCAUGGCUUAACCAUGGAACUGCUUUGGAAACUGUGCAGCUAGAGUGCAGGAGAGGUAAGCGGAAUUCCUAGUGUAGCGGUGAAAUGCGUAGAUAUUAGGAGGAACACCAGUGGCGAAGGCGGCUUACUGGACUGUAACUGACGUUGAGGCUCGAAAGCGUGGGGAGCAAACAGGAUUAGAUACCCCAGUAGUC
rnacentral:rRNA from 1 species